rnacentral:rRNA from 1 species
AGAGUUUGAUCCUGGCUCAGAUUGAACGCUGGCGGCAGGCCUAACACAUGCAAGUCGAGCGGUAACAGAAAGUAGCUUGCUACUUUGCUGACGAGCGGCGGACGGGUGAGUAAUGCUUGGGAACAUGCCUUGAGGUGGGGGACAACAGUUGGAAACGACUGCUAAUACCGCAUAAUGUCUACGGACCAAAGGGGGCUUCGGCUCUCGCCUUUAGAUUGGCCCAAGUGGGAUUAGCUAGUUGGUGAGGUAAUGGCUCACCAAGGCAACGAUCCCUAGCUGGUUUGAGAGGAUGAUCAGCCACACUGGGACUGAGACACGGCCCAGACUCCUACGGGAGGCAGCAGUGGGGAAUAUUGCACAAUGGGCGCAAGCCUGAUGCAGCCAUGCCGCGUGUGUGAAGAAGGCCUUCGGGUUGUAAAGCACUUUCAGUCAGGAGGAAAGGUUAGUAGUUAAUACCUGCUAGCUGUGACGUUACUGACAGAAGAAGCACCGGCUAACUCCGUGCCAGCAGCCGCGGUAAUAC